rnacentral:lncRNA from 1 species
UCCUACAUUUUAUUUUUAUUAUUAUUUUUGUUCAUUCAAUAGAAUUAUUUUCCUUCCAGUAUAUAUGGGAUCGACCCUACUCAUCAUUAUCGCAGUUUAUUUUGUUUUAGAAAAGCAAAAAUUUAUUUUUAGUGGUUUCAACAUCCAUCAGAGAUAAACUCCAAAAAGGAUCAGUUAAAUUAUUGCCUAUGUCCUCACUUGCACAACUUCAGUUAAAUUACUACCUAUCUCCUCACUUGCACAACUUCAGUUAAAUUACUACCUAUAUCCUCACAUGCACAACUUGUUGAUAUUCACAUGAAGGCAUUAUCAACUGGUGCAUUCCAUGCCAUCAUGGUCAAGCUAGAAAUGGCAAAUAUCCAUUCUCCAACUUGCAGGGUGUUACAGCUAAAAAUAAAUACCUAAGUUGUUAUUUAUCAAUUAGUUACAGUUAGUUUCUUCCUUUUCCCGCCUCUUUCUUUCCUUUUCCGGUCUCUUCCUUUCUAGGUGUAUCUUGUGAAAUAACUUGUAUAUAAUGAGUUGUUUUGCUCUCUUGAAUAAUAAGAUAUUCAUUCCUUUUCUCUCUGGUUUCUCUUCUUCAAUAAUUCGACAAAUAACAAUACAAUACUCUAACUCAAAAUGAUAUUAGUUCCAUUAAAAUAAUUUAUCUAUCUCAACUAAAUUUUUUUUAAUAUCCAAAUUUGACAUUUUUACUUGAGAAAAUCACACUAACUCUUCAAAACUCCAAUUGACACCAAAUAAAAUAAAUGAAAGAAUAAAUAAAUAUGCAAUUAAACUUGCUAAAUAUAAUAUAUAAAAAU